rnacentral:rRNA from 1 species
AGAGUUUGAUCAUGGCUCAGAGCGAACGCUGGCGGCAGGCCUAACACAUGCAAGUCGAACGGACCCUUCGGGGUUAGUGGCGGACGGGUGAGUAACACGUGGGAACGUGCCUUUAGGUUCGGAAUAGCUCCUGGAAACGGGUGGUAAUGCCGAAUGUGCCCUUCGGGGGAAAGAUUUAUCGCCUUUAGAGCGGCCCGCGUCUGAUUAGCUUGUUGGUGAGGUAAUGGCUCACCAAGGCUACGAUCAGUAGCUGGUCUGAGAGGAUGACCAGCCACAUUGGGACUGAGACACGGCCCAAACUCCUACGGGAGGCAGCAGUGGGGAAUCUUGCGCAAUGGGCGAAAGCCUGACGCAGCCAUGCCGCGUGUAUGAUGAAGGUCUUAGGAUUGUAAAAUACUUUCACCGGUGAAGAUAAUGACUGUAGCCGGAGAAGAAGCCCCGGCUAACUUCGUGCCAGCAGCCGCGGUAAUACGAAGGGGGCUAGCGUUGCUCGGAAUUACUGGGCGUAAAGGGAGCGUAGGCGGACAUUUAAGUCAGAGGUGAAAUCCCGGAGCUUAACUUCGGAACUGCCUUUGAUACUGGAUGUCUUGAGUGUGAGAGAGGUAUGUGGAACUCCGAGUGUAGAGGUGAAAUUCGUAGAUAUUCGGAAGAACACCAGUGGCGAAGGCGACAUACUGGCUCAUUACUGACGCUGAGGCUCGAAAGCGUGGGAGCAAACAGGAUUAGAUACCCUGGUAGUCCACGCCGUAAACGAUGAUUGCUAGUUGUCGGGGAGUUUACUUCUCGGUGACGCAGCUAAC